CGACCGAGACUGUCCAAGCCGGGGCUCGAACCGGCAACCUUCCGAUUACAAGGCGAACUCCAACUCGCCUUGUCGUGGAUCGUGGCUCCAACUCUUGAGCCACGAUCGCUCACCACACUUCACAGAGAUUUUGCUGGCAAGGAUGGAGAGUCUCAGUUUAAUUCUUUCUGAAGGUAACAUCCCUCCCUCCCUCCCCUCCAUUUUCAGGGUUACAGUCCAAAAAGAAUUCUGUCUCUAUCCACCCAUCACAUGGGAUUUCACCACCAUUAGCCGCUAAAACUACUAGAGUUUCUGUUCUCAAAAGCUCAGCAAGUGGCCUGACAGUGCUGUGUGAGCAUCAAACCUAAGAAUCCUUAAAGAUCUACAUCGGCAUCCGCAAGAAGCUGAAGGCUCCAACCAGCUCCUCCCACCCUCAGCACUCCCUUUGGGCCUCUGAGCCCCUUCGUUCCCCUCCCAUUGCUCAAUGCAGCUGAUCAGGUACCCCUCGCAGAUUGCAGGGAAUCACCGUCACUGUUUGAGAGUUGUAGCUGGAGGGUGAAGGCUCACAGCGCGUCCAUCAUAGAGACAUGGUGUCUCAGUCCUCAGACUGGAGAGACCACCUGCAGCAGGAGAAAGAGAUGCUGAUGGAGGAGGUCAAAGCUAAGAAGGAGCCGGUGUGGAUCCUCCACAAAGCGCUGGAGGCGGCUUAGCUGGAGAAGUGAGUCCGCGCCGAGUUUUUGGCAGAGGAGGAACGUCUGGAGCUGCUGCGACACCGCGAGUGACAGGUGGCCGACCUGUGGGGUGGCUGGACGAGGCCAAGAUGGAGGUGGAGGCGGUGAGGAAGAGUCUGGCUGAGAAGGCCACGCAGGUCACUGAGCUGCAGCAGAACAUCAGGAUGCUGAUGGAGAAGAACAACGCCAAGCAGGAGGUGAGGACAAACCAGAGGUCGCUGUCAGACUGACCUCUGGUUUGUCAUGUUAAAGUAACCUGCUCACGUUUGUUUCCAUGACUGAAAGUUUCCCUGAGAUCUGGGGCUGUUCCUGGAGCUGCUGCUGACUCAGGAAAAAACUGAGCAUGGGUGGAUGUUGAGACAGAGGGCCUCUCCCGUGCAUUCAACACUCCAUCUAAAUGACCAGCCCAGAUGAUGGAUGUGGCAUGUUAUUCAGUGGAAAACUGAGAAUCGUAGCCAAAAGAAAAAAGUGGAAUACUUGAGGAAGAUCACGGAGCAAAAGGCUCAUUGAGUGAGAGCAGUGGGCAGGUUGGUGUUCUGCACCAUUUAGUUA
ensembl:lncRNA